UACGUAGGCAGCGAGCGUUGUUCGGAGUUACUGGGCGUAAAGGGUGUGUAGGCGGUUAUUUAAGUUUGGUGUGAAAUCUCCCGGCUCAACCGGGAGGGUGCGCCGAAUACUGAAUGACUUGGAGUGCGGGAGAGGUGAGUGGAAUUCCUGGUGUAGCGGUGAAAUGCGUAGAUAUCAGGAGGAACACCGGUGGUGUAGACGGCUCACUGGACCGUAACUGACGCUGAGACACGAAAGCGUGGGUAGCAAACAGG
rnacentral:rRNA from 1 species